rnacentral:rRNA from 1 species
UACGAAGGGGGCUAGCGUUGCUCGGAAUCACUGGGCGUAAAGCGCACGUAGGCGGAUCUUUAAGUCAGGGGUGAAAUCCUGGAGCUCAACUCCAGAGCUGCCUUUGAUACUGGGGAUCUCGAGUCCGGGAGAGGUGAGUGGAACUCCGAGUGUAGAGGUGAAAUUCGUAGAUAUUCGGAAGAACACCAGUGGCGAAGGCGGCUCACUGGCCCGGUACUGACGCUGAGGUGCGAAAGCGUGGGGAGCAAACAGG